AUAGAAUUUUUGAAUAAACAAAAGUAACAUUACAUUAGGAAUCCAACAAAUAAUAUUGGACUGUAGAUAGAUAAAUGACUGUAACUAUCAAAAUUCACCCAAAUAGAUUAAAUUAAACAACAAAAAUGACAUUCAAAAAAAAACAGAGCAAUGAUAAAUUAACAAAAUAAUAAUAGCAUGUUGUUAAGAGAACACGAAGUAGAAGGAAACAAGAAAUUGAUUUCAAUGAACCUGGAGUUUCAUUGCACGACAACUUUGAAACAUAAAACGCUGGAACCACAGACGAAGACUCGAAUUGACGCACGAAAAUUUCGGGUCUGAAUCCAAUAACUCAGUUACUCUGUUUGGAUUUCUUCUUAGAAAUUACAUGAAAGGAACAAAGCUUCCUUCAGCUUUUCCGUCAAAUUUUGCUUUUAUAAAACUCCCUCUGUUUGGUCCCUUAAGAAGCCCUACAAAUGGCUGAGAAGAAGAGCAUUGCGUCGGGGGGUGGGUCAUGGCGCUAGUCUUUUUUUUUUUUUAGAGAGAACUGCUGAUUAGUGUAUUAGAGUGUAGGUUCCC
rnacentral:lncRNA from 1 species